rnacentral:rRNA from 1 species
AGAGUUUGAUCCUGGCUCAGAAUGAACGCUGGCGGCGUGCUUAACACAUGCAAGUCGAACGGUAACAGAGAGUACUUGUACUCUGCUGACGAGUGGCGCACGGGUGAGUAAUAUAUAGGUAAUGUGCCCCUUGGACCGGGAUAGCCACUGGAAACGGUGAUUAAUACUGGAUACUCCUUUUAAUCAAAAGAUUAAUCGGGAAAUGGAUUCCGCCAAGGGAUCGGCCUAUAUCCUAUCAGGUAGUUGGUGAGGUAAGAGCUCACCAAGCCAAUGACGGGUAGCGGGUUUGAGAGGAUGAUCCGCCACACUGGUACUGAGACACGGACCAGACUCCUACGGGAGGCAGCAGUGAGGAAUAUUGCACAAUGGGGGCAACCCUGAUGCAGCAACGCCGCGUGGAGGAUGACGCAUUUCGGUGUGUAAACUCCUUUUAUAUGUCAAGAAAAUGACGGUAGCAUAUGAAUAAGCACCGGCUAACUCCGUGCCAGCAGCCGCGGUAAUACGGAGGGUGCAGGCGUUAUU